GACGAACGCUGGCGGCGUGCCUAAUACAUGCAAGUUGAGCGCUGAAGGUUGGUACUUGUACCAACUGGAUGAGCAGCGAACGGGUGAGUAACGCGUGGGGAAUCUGCCUUUGAGCGGGGGACAACAUUUGGAAACGAAUGCUAAUACCGCAUAAAAACUUUAAACACAAGUUUUAAGUUUGAAAGAUGCAAUUGCAUCACUCAAAGAUGAUCCCGCGUUGUAUUAGCUAGUUGGUGAGGUAAAGGCUCACCAAGGCGAUGAUACAUAGCCGACCUGAGAGGGUGAUCGGCCACAUUGGGACUGAGACACGGCCCAAACUCCUACGGGGGGCAGCAGUAGGGAAUCUUCGGCAAUGGACGAAAGUCUGACCGAGCAACGCCGCGUGAGUGAAGAAGGGUUUCGGAUCGUAAAACUCUGUUGGUAGAGAAGAACGUUGGUGAGAGUGGAAAGCUCAUCAAGUGACGGUAACUACCCAGAAAGGGACGGCUAACUACGUG
rnacentral:rRNA from 1 species